UGGGGAAUAUUGCACAAUGGGGGAAACCCUGAUGCAGCGACGCCGCGUGAGUGAAGAAGUAAUUCGUUACGUAAAGCUCUAUCAGCAGGGAAGAAAGAAGACGGUACCUGAAUAAGAAGCCCCGGCUAACUACGUGCCAGCAGCCGCGGUAAUACGUAGGGGGCAAGCGUUAUCCGGAUUUACUGGGUGUAAAGGGAGCGUAGACGGCAUGAAAAGUCUGAAGUGAAAGCCCGCGGCUCAACCGCGGAACUGCUUUGGAAACUUUUAAGCUAGAGUACCGGAGAGGUAAGCGGAAUUCCUAGUGUAGCGGUGAAAUGCGUAGAUAUUAGGAGGAACACCAGUGGCGAAGGCGGCUUACUGGACGGUAACUGACGUUGAGGCUCGAAAGCGUGGGGAGCAAACAGG
rnacentral:rRNA from 1 species